UUUUGGACAAUGGGCGCAAGCCUGAUCCAGCCAUUCCGCGUGAGUGAAGAAGGCCUUCGGGUUGUAAAGCUCUUUCGCAAGGGAAGAAAACUUACUUUCUAAUAAAGAGUGAGGUUGACGGUACCUUGAUAAGAAGCACCGGCUAACUACGUGCCAGCAGCCGCGGUAAUACGUAGGGUGCGAGCGUUAAUCGGAAUUACUGGGCGUAAAGCGUGCGCAGGCGGCUUUGUAAGUCAGAUGUGAAAUCCCCGAGCUCAACUUGGGAACUGCGUUUGAAACUACAAGGCUAGAAUAUGUCAGAGGGGGGUAGAAUUCCACGUGUAGCAGUGAAAUGCGUAGAGAUGUGGAGGAAUACCAAUGGCGAAGGCAGCCCCCUGGGAGUAAUAUUGACGCUCAUGCACGAA
rnacentral:rRNA from 1 species